rnacentral:rRNA from 1 species
UACAGAGGGUGCAAGCGUUAAUCGGAAUUACUGGGCGUAAAGCGCACGUAGGCGGUUUUUUAAGUCAGAUGUGAAAGCCCCGGGCUCAACCUGGGAAUUGCAUUUGAAACUGGGAAACUAGAGUGUGUGAGAGGGGGGUAGAAUUCCAAGUGUAGCGGUGAAAUGCGUAGAGAUUUGGAGGAAUACCAGUGGCGAAGGCGGCCCCCUGGCACAAUACUGACGCUGAGGUGCGAAAGCGUGGGGAGCAAACAGG